CCUACGGGUGGCAGCAGUCGAGAAUCAUUCACAAUGGAGGAAACUCUGAUGGUGCGACGCCGCGUGGGGGAAUGAAGGUCUUCGGAUUGUAAACCCCUGUCAUGUGGGAGCAAAUUAAAAUGAUCGUACCACAAGAGGAAUAGACGGCUAACUCUGUGCAAGCAGCCGCGGUAAUACAGAGGUCUCAAGCGUUGUUCGGAAUCACUGGGCGUAAAGUGUGCGUAGGCUGUUUCGUAAGUCGGGUGUGAAAGGCGCGGGCUCAACCCGCGGACGGCACAUGAUACUGGGCGACUAGAGUAAUGGAGGGGGAACCGGAAUUCUCGGUGUAGCAGUGAAAUGCGUAGAUAUCGAGAGGAACACCCGUGGCGAAGGCAGGUUCCUGGACAUUAACUGACGCUGAGGCACGAAGGCCAGGGGAGCGAAAGGGAUUAGAUACCCCAGUAGUC
rnacentral:rRNA from 1 species